rnacentral:lncRNA from 1 species
CUGGGUACCGGAGGGAGGGAGGCGGGCAGAGGAGGGGAGAUGGGCACCCCCAGUCUUUCCAUCCUCCUCAUUCGUCUAGGGGCACCCGAAUCCACUAUUCCUUAUUUUCCCUAUCACUCAGGCACUGGCAGGGUCCUUUGCCCACUCCUGUUGGCCGCCGCGGCUCCAAAGCGAGAUGUGCCUGAGACAGGUUUGACCAGGCAACUGAAAAGACAUCCCUAAGGGAAGACAAAGCAAAGGUAUGAAAGGAACACAUGUCCCUGACUGACUAGGAGGAACAGAGCUGCCUGCUGUCUGGAACCGCUUCCUCCCAGACUAAGGUUUCCCAGAGGAAGAGAGAGAAUUUGGACAAAUGAAUGAGGGACAACGCUCUCCUGAGGGUUUUCUUUAAGGGGCGAGGAUCACUGCCGCUAGCUCCUUUGAAAGCAGAAUUAAGAGGCAGUGCAGGAAGGCACAGCAGGAAGGCUCAUGGUUAGAC